rnacentral:rRNA from 1 species
GAUGAACGCUGGCGGUCUGCUUAACACAUGCAAGUCGAACGAACUCUUCGGAGUGAGUGGCGGACGGGUGAGUAACGCGUGGGUAACCUGCCCUAUGGAGGGGGAUAACGUUUUGAAAAGAACGCUAAUACCGCAUAAGCGCACAGUAUCGCAUGGUACAGUGUGAAAAACUCCGGUGCCAUAGGAUGGACCCGCGUCAGAUUAGCUAGUUGGUGGGGUAAAGGCCUACCAAGGCAACGAUCUGUAGCCGACCUGAGAGGGUGAUCGGCCACAUUGGGACUGAGACACAGCCCAAACUCCUACGGGAGGCAGCAGUGGGGGAUAUUGCACAAUGGGGGAAACCCUGAUGCAGCAAUGCCGCGUGAAGGAAGAAGGUUUUCGGAUUAGUAAACUUCUAUCAGCAGGGAAGAAAUGACUGUACCUGACUAAGAAGCCCGGCUAACUACGUGCCAGCCG